AGUGAACGCUGGCGGUAGGCCUAACACAUGCAAGUCGAACGGCAGCACAGUAAGAGCUUGCUCUUACGGGUGGCGAGUGGCGGACGGGUGAGGAAUACAUCGGAAUCUACUUUUUCGUGGGGGAUAACGUAGGGAAACUUACGCUAAUACCGCAUACGACCUACGGGUGAAAGCAGGGGAUCUUCGGACCUUGCGCGAUUGAAUGAGCCGAUGUCGGAUUAGCUAGUUGGCGGGGUAAAGGCCCACCAAGGCGACGAUCCGUAGCUGGUCUGAGGGGAUGAUCAGCCACACUGGAACUGAGACACGGUCCAGACUCCUACGGGAGGCAGCAGUGGGGAAUAUUGGACAAUGGGCGCAAGCCUGAUCCAGCCAUACCGCGUGGGUGAAGAAGGCCUUCGGGUUGUAAAGCCCUUUUGUUGGGAAAGAAAAGCAGCAGGUUAAUACCCCGCUGUUCUGACGGUACCCAAAGAAUAAACACCGGCUAACUUCGUG
rnacentral:rRNA from 1 species